rnacentral:rRNA from 1 species
CCUGGCGGCCUUAGCGCGGUGGUCCCACCUGAUCCCAUGCCGAACUCAGAAGUGAAACGCCGUAGCGCCGAUGGUAGUGUGGGGUCUCCCCAUGCGAGA